GGCCAUGUGAUGUUGAAACACAAGUUCCUGUAUGAUCACUGAAGUUAAGCAAUGCCAAGCCUGGUCAGUACCUAGAUGUGUAACUUCUUGGGAAUAGCAGGUACUGUAAG